rnacentral:rRNA from 1 species
AACGAACGCUGGCGGCAGGCUUAACACAUGCAAGUCGAACGGGUGUAGCAAUACAUCAGUGGCAGACGGGUGAGUAACACGUGGGAACCUUCCUAGGGGUACGGAACAACUCAGGGAAACUUGAGCUAAUACCGUAUACGUCCGUGAGGAGAAAGAUUUAUCGCCCUUAGACGGGCCCGCGUCGGAUUAGCUAGUUGGUGGGGUAACGGCCUACCAAGGCGACGAUCCGUAGCUGACCUUAGAGGAUGAUCAGCCACACUGGGACUGAGACACGGCCGAGACUCCGACGGGAGGCAGCAGUGGGGAAUCUUGGACAAUGGGCGCAAGCCUGAUCCAGCCAUGCCGCGUGAGUGAAGAAGGUCUUCGGAUUGUAAAGCUCUUUUGCCAGGGACGAUAAUGACGGUACCUGGAGAAUAAGCCCCGGCAAACUUCGUGCCAGCAGCCGCCGCCGUAA